rnacentral:snoRNA from 1 species
ACAGUGCCUAUGAUGGGUUUAAAUAUACUUUGAGUUCAACAAUGAAAUAGAAGGUAUCUGAGGCACUUU